rnacentral:rRNA from 1 species
GAUGAACGCUAGCGGCAGGCUUAACACAUGCAAGUCGAGGGGUAUAGUAGCAAUACUAGAGGCCGGCGCACGGGUGCGUAACGCGUAUGCAAUCUACCUUUCACAGAGGGAUAGCCCAGAGAAAUUUGGAUUAAUACCUCAUAGUAUAUAGUUUUGGCAUCAAGAUUAUAUUAAAGUCACAACGGUGAAAGAUGAGCAUGCGUCCCAUUAGCUAGUUGGUAUGGUAACGGCAUACCAAGGCUACGAUGGGUAGGGGUCCUGAGAGGGAGAUCCCCCACACUGGUACUGAGACACGGACCAGACUCCUACGGGAGGCAGCAGUGAGGAAUAUUGGACAAUGGGCGCAAGCCUGAUCCAGCCAUGCCGCGUGCAGGAUGACGGUCCUAUGGAUUGUAAACUGCUUUUGUACAGGAAGAAACACCUCUACGUGUAGAGACUUGACGGUACUGUAAGAAUAAGGAUCGGCUAACUCCGUGCCAGCAGCCGCGGUAAUACGGAGGAUCCAAGCGUUAUCCGGAAUCAUUGGGUUUAAAGGGUCCGUAGGCGGUCUUAUAAGUCAGUGGUGAAAUCUCCCCGCUCAACGGGGAAACGGCCAUUGAUACUGUAAGACUUGAAUUAUUAGGAAGUAACUAGAAUACGUAGUGUAGCGGUGAAAUGCUUAGAGAUUACAUGGAAUACCAAUUGCGAAGGCAGGUUACUACUAAUGGAUUGACGCUGAUGGGCGAAAGCGUGGGUAGCGAACAGGAUUAGAUACCCUGGUAGUCCACGCCGUAAACGAUGGAUACUAGCUGUUGGGCGCAAGUUCAGUGGCUAAGCGAAAGUGAUAAGUAUCCCACCUGGGGAGUGCGUUCGCAAGAAUG